rfam:Oryza glumipatula chromosome 10, whole genome shotgun sequence.
UAUAAGUGUAGUUGCGAUUUUUCAUAUCUAACAUUUAACCAUCCGUUUUAUUUGAAAAAAAAUUAUGAUUAGUAUUUUUAUAGUUAUUAGAUGAUAAAAUAUGAAUACUAUUUUAUGUGUGAUUAUUUUUUUUAGUUUUAUCAUAAAAUUUUCAAAUAAAACUGACCGUCAAACGUUGGACACGGAAACUUACCACUGCACUUAUA